AGGUGAAGGGCACCAAGUAUCUUAUCACCCUCCAGUAAUAAUCUUGAGACCUUGCUGACUCAAUAUUAUUGCCAUUCAAUGACAGUUGAGUGACAGUUCUUGAAUAAUGACAGCUCAUCAGCAGUUUACAAAGACCCCACAAAGAAAACCACUAAAUUCAGAGAGCAUCAGAGCUUCAUUAUUAGCGAGUUGACAUUCAACGAGGCCAAGCUGACCUCUCCGUCUCCUACAAAAGGGCCUUACUGAAAGGGAG
ensembl:lncRNA